rnacentral:rRNA from 1 species
AUUGAACGCUGGCGGCAUGCCUUACACAUGCAAGUCGAACGGUAACGGGCCUUCGGGCGCCGACGAGUGGCGCACGGGUGAGUAAUACAUCGGAACGUGCCCGAUCGUGGGGGAUAACGAGGCGAAAGCUUUGCUAAUACCGCAUACGAUCUACGGAUGAAAGCAGGGGACCGCAAGGCCUUGCGCGGACGGAGCGGCCGAUGGCAGAUUAGGUAGCUGGUGGGAUAAAAGCUUACCAAGCCGACGAUCUGUAGCUGGUCUGAGAGGAUGAUCAGCCACACUGGGACUGAGACACGGCCCAGACUCCUACGGGAGGCAGCAGUGGGGAAUUUUGGACAAUGGGCGCAAGCCUGAUCCAGCCAUGCCGCGUGCAGGAUGAAGGCCUUCGGGUUGUAAACUGCUUUUGUACGGAACGAAAAGCCUUCUUUUAAUACAGGAGGGUCAUGACGGUACCGUAAGAAUAAGCACCGGCUAACUACGUGC